rnacentral:rRNA from 1 species
AGAAUCAACGCUGGCGGCGUGCCUAACACAUGCAAGUCGCACGAGAAAGUGGAGCAAUCCACGAGUAAAGUGGCGCACGGGUGAGUAACACGUGACUAACCUACCCUUGAGUGGGGAAUAACUGAGGGAAACCUUAGCUAAUACCGCAUAAUACCUACGGGUCAAAGGAGCAAUUCGCUUAAGGAGGGGGUCGCGGCAGAUUAGUUAGUUGGCGGGGUAAUGGCCCACCAAGACAGUGAUCUGUA